rnacentral:rRNA from 1 species
UAGGGAAUCUUCCACAAUGGACGAAAGUCUGAUGGAGCAACGCCGCGUGAGUGAAGAAGGGUUUCGGCUCGUAAAACUCUGUUGUUAAAGAAGAACAUAUCUGAGAGUAACUGUUCAGGUAUUGACGGUAUUUAACCGGAAAGCCACGGCUAACUACGUACCAG